AGAGUUUGAUCCUGGCUCAGGACGAACGCUGGCGGCGUGCCUAACACAUGCAAGUCGAACGGAACUGUUUUGAAAGAUUUCUUCGGAAUGAAUUUGAUUUAGUUUAGUGGCGGACGGGUGAGUAACGCGUGAGUAACCUGCCUUCAAGAGGGGGAUAACAUUCUGAAAAGAAUGCUAAUACCGCAUGACAUAUCGGAACCACAUGGUUCUGAUAUCAAAGAUUUUAUCGCUUGAAGAUGGACUCGCGUCCGAUUAGUUAGUUGGUGAGGUAACGGCUCACCAAGACCGCGAUCGGUAGCCGGACUGAGAGGUUGAACGGCCACAUUGGGACUGAGACACGGCCCAGACUCCUACGGGAGGCAGCAGUGGGGGAUAUUGCGCAAUGGGGGCAACCCUGACGCAGCAACGCCGCGUGAAGGAUGAAGGUUUUCGGAUUGUAAACUUCUUUUAUUAAGGACGAAAAAUGACGGUACUUAAUGAAUAAGCUCCGGCUAACUACGUGCCAGCAGCCGCGGUAAUACGUAGGGAGCAAGCGUUGUCCGGAUUUACUGGGUGUAAAGGGUGCGUAGGCGGCUUUGCAAGUCAGAUGUGAAAUCUAUGGGCUCAACCCAUAAACUGCAUUUGAAACUGUAGAGCUUGAGUGAAGUAGAGGCAGGCGGAAUUCCCCGUGUAGCGGAGAAAUGCGUAGAGAUGGGGAGGAACACCAGUGGCGAAGGCGGCCUGCUGGGCUUUAACUGACGCUGAGGCACGAAAGCGUGGGUAGCAAACAGGAUUAGAUACCCUGGUAGUCCACGCUGUAAACGAUGAUUACUAGGUGUGGGGGGUCUGAC
rnacentral:rRNA from 1 species